AGUGAACGCUGGCGGUAGGCCUAACACAUGCAAGUCGAACGGCAGCACAGUAAGAGCUUGCUCUUACGGGUGGCGAGUGGCGGACGGGUGAGGAAUACAUCGGAAUCUACUUUUUCGUGGGGGAUAACGUAGGGAAACUUACGCUAAUACCGCAUACGACCUACGGGUGAAAGCAGGGGAUCUUCGGACCUUGCGCGAUUGAAUGAGCCGAUGUCGGAUGAGCUAGUUGGCGGGGUAAAGGCCCACCAAGGCGACGAUCCGUAGCUGGUCUGAGAGGAUGAUCAGCCACACUGGAACUGAGACACGGUCCAGACUCCUCCGGGAGGCAGCAGUGGGGAAUAUUGGACAAUGGGCGCAAGCCUGAUCCAGCCAUACCGCGUGGGUGAAGAAGGCCUUCGGGUUGUAAAGCCCUUUUGUUGGGAAAGAAAAGCAGCAGGUUAAUACCCCGCUGUUCUGACGGUACCCAAAGAAUAAGCACCGGCUAACUUCGUG
rnacentral:rRNA from 1 species